GUUUAUCUGAUGGGUCCCAAAUAGGACGAAACAAGUUUCGUUGAU
rnacentral:hammerhead_ribozyme from 1 species